CUCAUUUUUCUUAUGUAAUAGGAUGUUGGAGAGCUAUAUUGACAAGGUUCUCUGUGAACGGAAGGGAGUCCGUUUUGAUAUGAAAUGGCUUGCAGAUAUGGGACACCCAGUUGUUGGUGUGGAUAUAGCUGAGAUUGGGUAUCAGGCAGUUCUUUGAAGAUCAGAAGUUGAUCUACAGUGAAGAAGUGGUCCCAGCAAUACCCGGUGCCAAGGUUUACAAGUGCCAUUGAGCCACAGAGGCUCCUUGGUGGCCAUCAAUCCACGGGACAAAGAAAAAGUAAGACCACGUGAACUGGACCUCCCUCUGAGAUUCAACAGGAAAGCACAGCUUGUUUUGACACAAGUUACGUCUGUAACAGGUAUGCAGCACUGAUCAUGUCGUCCGUGGACAAGGACUGACGAUACCUCUUGGACACUUAAACAAACAAAGAAAUACAAUUCUGAAUAGUUCAAAGGUGAGAUCUUCCCCUGAAAUAACAGCUCAAAUGAUAUUUGUCUUCCAUUUGUUCUAGAUGCAUGUGAGUAGCAUAUUUAUUCAAACAUACAGUCGAGUAUGCGUUUAGUUUAUUAACCUUCCAUUGUCAUUCGUUAACACCUCUCUAUAUGUCCUCCAUUUUAUGUGCCUUGUGUAAACAGACUUUCUGGUGAGUUUUAUUAAUACAAUUGUGUUUGUCAUUGAUAGUACCUUUAUUGAUAUUCCUUUGUAUACCUGUCAUUGAACUGUAUUUGAUAUUUAACACAAAAACCAAUUGAGUGAAAUAUGAGAAGAUAUUGUAGGAGAGAAUUGUGGCAAGGUAGUUUCACAAUAUUCAUUUGAUUUGAUAUGUAUUCCAGGGAGGAGUUGUGAUAUUGAGUUUAUACAGUCUUCAGGUGCUCUCUCAGGCGUGAAGGAUAAGGAAUGGGGCUUGGAUGUCUUCAUAGGACGACAGGGAGAGAUGUCUGAGCGAAAUAGCGCAUUGAAAAUGAUUGUCAGGAUAUUAGAUGUUCUGUGAAGGUUUGAUGUUGUUAUUAGCUUUGUUGACAGUUUGGAAAUGACCUCAUGUCGAAAUAUGCCAAGUCAAUUCUUUCAUAUGGGAAAUGAACUGAAUUUACAGUGUUUUUUAAAUGUCUGGCAUUUAAAAUAAAAUAAAAAUA